UCAUGUUGAAACACCAGUUUUCAUAUAAUCACUGAAGUUGAGCGAUGUUGAGCCUGGUCAGUACCUAGAUGGGUGACCACCUGAAAAUACUUGGGGCUGUAAG